UACAGAGGGGGCAAGCGUUAUUCGGAAUUAUUGGGCGUAAAGGGCGCGUAGGCGGCUUUGCAAGUGACGGGUGAAAUCCCUCGGCUUAACCGAGGAACUGCCUGUCAAACUGCAUGGCUUGAGACCGGGAGAGGUGAGUGGAAUUCCCAGUGUAGCGGUGAAAUGCGUAGAUAUUGGGAGGAACACCAGUGGCGAAGGCGGCCAUCUGGAUCAACACUGACGCUGAGGCACGAAAGCGUGGGGAGCAAACAGG
rnacentral:rRNA from 1 species